UACGUAUGGUGCAAGCGUUAUCCGGAUUUACUGGGUGUAAAGGGAGCGUAGGCGGCGCGUUAAGUCUGAUGUGUAAACCCGAGGCUCAACCACGGGAGUGCAUUGGAAACUGGCGGGCUGGAGUGCCGGAGAGGUAAGCGGAAUUCCUAGUGUAGCGGUGAAAUGCGUAGAUAUUAGGAGGAACACCAGUGGCGAAGGCGGCUUACUGGACGGCAACUGACGCUGAGGCUCGAAAGCGUGGGGAGCAAACAGG
rnacentral:rRNA from 1 species